rnacentral:rRNA from 1 species
CCUACGGGCGGCAGCAGUGGGGAAUAUUGGACAAUGGGGGGAACCCUGAUCCAGCCAUGCCGCGUGUGUGAAGAAGGCCCUCGGGUUGUAAAGCACUUUCAGUGAGGAAGAACGCCUGGUGGUUAAUACCCAUCAGGAAAGACAUCACUCACAGAAGAAGCACCGGCUAACUCCGUGCCAGCAGCCGCGGUAAUACGGAGGGUGCGAGCGUUAAUCGGAAUUACUGGGCGUAAAGCGCGCGUAGGUGGCUUGAUAAGCCGGUUGUGAAAGCCCCGGGCUCAACCUGGGAACGGCAUCCGGAACUGUCAAGCUAGAGUGCAGGAGAGGAAGGUAGAAUUCCCGGUGUAGCGGUGAAAUGCGUAGAGAUCGGGAGGAAUACCAGUGGCGAAGGCGGCCUUCUGGACUGACACUGACACUGAGGUGCGAAAGCGUGGGUAGCACACAGGAUUAGAUACCCGUGUAGUC